rnacentral:rRNA from 1 species
GACGAACGCUGGCGGCGUGCUUAACACAUGCAAGUCGAACGGUGAAGCUCCAGCUUGCUGGAGUGGAUCAGUGGCGAACGGGUGAGUAACACGUGAGCAACCUGCCCCUGACUCUGGAAUAAGCGCUGGAAACGGCGUCUAAUACUGGAUACGAGAAGGGCCCGCAUGGGCACUUUCUGGAAAGUUUUUCGGUUGGGGAUGGGCUCGCGGCCUAUCAGCUUGUUGGUGAGGUAAUGGCUCACCAAGGCGACAACGGGUAGCCGGCCUGAGAGGGCGACCGGCCACACUGGGACUGAGACACGGCCCAGACUCCUACGGGAGGCAGCAGUGGGGAAUAUUGCACAAUGGGCGAAAGCCUGAUGCAGCGACGCCGCGUGAGGGAUGACGGCCUUCGGGUUGUGAACCUCUUUCAGCAGGGAAGAAGCGAAAGUGACGGUACCUGCAGAAGAAGCACCGGCUAACUACGUG